rnacentral:lncRNA from 1 species
CGGCCUUCAGUUGGUGGCCUUCAGUGGGUGCCUUAAGUUGGUGGCAUUUGGUUGCCUUUCCUGGGGAGAGGGGGCAGGUGCUCAGCUCUGCAGACGUGGGGGCAAGCGAAGGCCCAAGCUGCCUCGAGAAGAGCAGAGGUGCCCCAUGGGGACCACGAUGACCAGUCGCAUGUGCACCAAAGCCAGCCCCAGGCAGGGGUUCUGCGAGGCCGUCCUGUGGCUUUGAUAUCUAUGAGUGGGCGGCCAGCACAGGCACAGGCACCAGCAGAAAGGAGCAGAGACGCCCAGAACAUGCUGUCCCCCAAUGCCAGCCCCAAGCGAGGCCAGCUUAGGGUGCGGUGGGCAGAGCCAUCCUGCAGCUCUGAGAUCCACGAGGUGUAGGUGGGAGUAGGGCCAGACUCCACUGCAUUGGAGCUCACACAAUUUGAGCCCAAUUUGAUUCCGGAGCCAUGAUCUACAGCACAUUGGCGACCAGAUGACGCCCAAAGCUGGGCAGAUGUGCCUGAGACAGGUUUGACCAGGCAACUGAAAAUAUAUCCCUAAGAGAAGACAAAACAAAGAUAUGAAAGGAACACACUUCCCUGACUGACUAGGAGGAACAGAGCUGCCUGCUGACUGGAACCGCUUCCUCCCAGACUAAAGGAAGAGAGAGAAUUUGGACAAAUGAAUGAGGAACAACGCUCUCCUGAGGGUUUUCUUUAAGGGGCAAGGAUCAAUGCCUCUAGAUCCUUUGAAAGCAGAGUUAAGAGGCAGUGCAGGAAGGCACAGCAGGAAGGUUCAUGGUUAGACUACAGAGAAGGAAGCAGCCACUGCUGGGGACCUACCCUGUGCUGGUCACUGACAAGCUGUCUCAUUAAACCUUCCCGGACCCUCAA